CUAAGCAGUGAUGUGGAGCAAAUCCCCAAAAGCAGUCUUAGUUCGGAUUGUAGGCUGCAACCCGCCUACAUGAAGUCGGAAUUGCUAGUAAUCGCGGAUCAGCAUGCCGCGGUGAAUACGUUCCCGGGCCUUGUACACACCGCCCGUCACACCAUGGGAGUUGGUAACACCCGAAGUCAGUAGCCUAACCGCAAGGAGGGCGCUGCCGAAGGUGGGAUCGAUGACUGGGGUGAAGUCGUAACAAGGUAUC
rnacentral:rRNA from 1 species